GAGCACGUAGGUGGGUUUGUAAGUCAGAUGUGAAAGCCUUCUGUUCAACGGAAGAAUUGCAUCUGAAACUGCGAGUCUUGAGUAUAGGAGGGGAGAAUGGAACUUCUGGUGGAGCGGUGAAAUGCGUAGAUAUCAGAAGGAACGCCGGCGGCGAAAGCGAUUCUCUGGCCUAUUACUGACACUCAGUGUGCGAAAGCUAGGGGAGCAAACGGGAUUGGAUACCCCGGUAGUCCUAGCCGUAAACGAUGGGCACUAAGUAGAGGGGUUUU
rnacentral:rRNA from 1 species